rnacentral:misc_RNA from 1 species
CACAAUGUUGUCGUUCCCCUCCUCCAACUCUCUCUUUUUCUUGCCCGUCUCUGAGUGCCUAUUUCAUUCGCUGCGGCUCCCGGUACGGUGCCGUGAUGGCGCGCGCUACAGGUCAGAUCUCCAACCCCUCACCUCCCGUGUCUGAGUGCUGUAGUGCCUCCGCCGUCUUCUUCGCUUGGUGUCUGUGUGCUGCCUUCGCCCUCCCCCUACACUGCGGCUGCCGCACUUCGUCUCUUCACCUUUGAAGUUGGUCAAACCGAACUCUUCCCUCAUCCCCUCCACACAUCCGCCCGCUUGCAGCAUACGCAGCUGCACCUCUGCCAGUGGUUUCGCAGGAGUUCGAGAAGAACGUCUGCUAGGCGCGGCUACGUUGCCUGGGCCUGGCUCACAGCGGGAAAGAUUGAACCCUGGACGCCGAGCUUCAAGGGGCAUCUGUUUUCCCUCGGUUCCUUCAUCCUUUCCCACAUAACCUCGAAAGGCGACAGCGACGCCUCGCUUUCAGUGCGUGUGGACACAGAGGUGCAUCACGAACGGUGAGACAGGAUCACAAAGACACAAGAAACGGAAGUGGCACACGCUACUUGCGGGUCGUUGUGCGCCUGGAACAUGAAGGCAGGGCAGCGUGUUCAGUUUUCGCUGACCAAACCGCGCGUGGAAAAGGUGAUCGUGUGCUUGGGGUUCGGCGAAGGCUUAGACGCGCGCGAGAGCCGCGGCGCUGUUGCCACACGCGUUACGCAGCACCUGCUGCUGCAAUGCCGUCCCUCUCCGAGCGAUGUACACAACCCGGAUACCACACGGGCGCAUGCACGCGAUCGGCAGGGGCGUGCCCGCAACUUUUACGAGUCUUACACGAUGCGGGCGCGACGUGGCCGGCUUGGCCGCACCGAGACCCUCCGCAGCCCACAAACAUGGGACUCGAGUCGGGUGGUGGACUAUAUGGGGGUGUGGUGCGACCGAUUGUUGCUUGGUGAUGCCCGUUAUCCUGUGCGGUGCGCACUUCUCGAGCCGCAUGUGCCCGAAGUGAUGUGGGGUGAGGCGGUUGCUCGCGUUGCCCAGUCUCAUCGCCAUCUGGACUCCACGGAUGUUCUUGUUGUAUCAGCAUGUGGGGCACUGCCAUUCGGUGUCGUGCGCUUGUGCACUGAUGCCGCGGAGUCAGGCAACGCACGCCCACCGACAUCUAACCUCGCCAUGCCCGGCAUCGCCACCUUGGAGGACGCGCUGCGGCUGUUUACACGCUCGACCAGCGGGCCUUCUCGUCUGCACAUUGGUAUCGGCUCUGAGCAUGGCACCUGCGCGCCCUUUGCGCAGCACGAGACCCCACAUGUGCAGCGUUUCUUAGUACCGCUGUGCAGUUUUGUGGCAGCCCUCUGGAGCGUGAGUCCCGUGAAGGCGUCCGAGUACGUCGCCUCCGUCACGGCUACACCGGAGACGUUGACGGAAGGCACAGCAAACAGGCGCCUUUGGCGCACAAUGCAGCACUCUAUGCUCUCCACCCGGGACUCUGCGGUCCUCAACGCCUACUACAAAGAAGAUGUUCUCGACGCGCGCCUCAGCCGAAACCACACGCGUUACCUUGCCGAGACUCUCCUUCGACGCCUCGCUGACGAGGACAGCGCCGCUUGACAGCGGCUGCUGAUGGCGAUCAGAGGCCAACAGAAAUCGACGAGCUCGGUUUUCUAGCGAAUACACAACUUUUCAGCUCCGCUCCAUGCGCCUGAUGCCUGCGGCCCCUACCCUCACAGAU